GGGCGGGAUGUAACCGGCUGCUGAGCUGGCAGUUCUGUGUCCCCAGGCUUCGGCCCGGCCGCCGCCGCACAUAAACUGCGAGGAGGAGCUUUACGACUUCUCGGUCUUCGGGGCCGGGCGCAGCAAGGGCCAGACUCUGCGCUAGCAGGCGCUGCGCGCCAACCGGCCGGCCCCUGUCGCAGAAGGUGCAACCGAUCGCACUGUCGCGCAGAAGCUCCUCAAUGGCCAGCGCCAGCUGCAGCCCCGGCUGCCCACUCGCCUCACCUGAGCCUGGGUGGAACAAUCCAAAGUUUUAAUCAAAGAAGGUGGUAUUCAGUUGCUGCUUACAAUAGUUGAUACCCCAGGAUUUGGAGAUGCAGUGGAUAAUAGUAAUUGCUGGCAGCCUGUUAUCAAUUACAUUGAUAGUAAAUUUGAGGACUACCUAAAUGCAGAAUCGCAAGUGAACAGAUGUCAGAUGCCUGGUAACAGGGUGCACUGUUGUUUAUACUUCAUUGCUCCUUCAGGACAUGGACCGUUACAUAACUGAAGACUCCCACCUUCAGGCAGGAUUGGGUAGUACAUGUUUGUAACUACCUGGCAUUGCCUUUUGUUGAGACUUAAACCAUUGGAUAUUGAGUUUACAAAGCAUUUGCAUGAAAAAGUGAAUAUCAUCCCACUUAUUGCCAAAGCAGACACACUCAUGCCAGAGGAAUGCCAACAGUUUAAAAAACAGAUAAAGAAAUCCAAGAACAUAAAGUUAAAAUAUAUGAAUUUCCAGAAACAGAUGAUGAAGAAGAAAAAAAACUUGUUAAAAAGAUAAAGGACCAUUUACCUCUUGCUGUGGUGGGUAGUAAUACUAUCAUUGAAGUUAAUGGCAAAAGGGUCAUAGGAAGGCAGUAUCCUUGGAGUGUUGCUGAAGUUGAAAAUGGUGAACAUUGUGAUUUUACAGUUUUAAGAAAUAUGUUGAUAAGACCUCAAAGGAGUUAAACCAGGCGACUUCCACCAGAUUUUCUUGAUUCUGUGUUUAUUCCAUGAGAAGCUGUGGGCUCGAUCCUGUACAAGUUCUAGAACUUCGUGGAACCUGCAGAACCUAUAUGGGCAGUUGAAAACACACGCAGGACUUGAAAGAUGUUACUAAUAAUGUCCACUACGAGAACUAUGGAAUCAGAAAACUGGCAGCUGUGACUUAUCAUGGAGUUGAUAACAAGAAGAAUAAAGGGCAGCUCACUAAGAGCCCUCUGGCACAAAUGGAAGAAGAAAGAAGGGAGCAAGUAGCUAAAAUUAAGAAGAUGGAGAUGGAGAUGGAGCAGGUGUUUGAGAUGAAGGUCAAAGAAAAAGUUCAAAAACUGAAGGACUCUGAAGCUGAGUCUGCAGAUGUGGAUCCUGACUCCUGAGAGAAGUAGCUCACCGUGACGAAGCUGCGUUUGCUUUUAUCGAUUUGCAAAUCAAAGAAGGGGGACAUAUUGGGAGAAGGCCCCCCAAAAUCUGGCCAUAAACUGGCCACAAAACUGGCCAUAAAAUCUCUGCAGCACUGUGACAUGCUCAUGAUGGCCAUAACGCCCACGCUGGAAGGUUUUGGGUUUACCGGAAUGAAGGCAAGGAACACCUGGCCUGCCCAGGGCAGAAAACCACUUAAAGGCAUUCUUAAACCACAAACAGUAGCAUGAGCGAUCUGUGCCUUAAGGGCAUGUUCCUGCUGCAGAUAACUAGCCAGACCCACCCCUUUAUUUCAGGCCAUCCCUUCAUUUCCCAUAAGGGAUACUUUUAGUUAAUUGAAUAUCUAUAGAAACAAUGCUAAUGACUGGUUUGCUGUUAAUAAAUAAGUGGGUAAAUCUCUGUUCGGGGCUCUCAGCUCUGAAGGCUGUGAGACCCCUGAUUUCCCACUUUACACCUCUA
ensembl:lncRNA novel transcript